UACGUAGGGGGCAAGCGUUGUCCGGAAUUAUUGGGCGUAAAGAGCGCGUAGGCGGUCCGAUAAGUCGGCUGUGAAAGUCAUGGGCUCAACCCAUGAAAGCCGGCCGAUACUGUCGGACUAGAGUCCGGAAGAGGCGAGUGGAAUUCCCGGUGUAGCGGUGAAAUGCGCAGAUAUCGGGAGGAACACCUAUGGCGAAGGCAGCACUCUGGGACGGUACUGACGCUGAGACGCGAAAGCGUGGGGGGCGAACAGG
rnacentral:rRNA from 1 species